UACGGGGGGAGCAAGCGUUGUUCGGAAUUACUGGGCGUAAAGGGCGCGUAGGCGGCCGCCUAAGUCAGACGUGAAAUCCCUCGGCUCAACCGGGGAACUGCGUCUGAUACUGGGUGGCUUGAAUCCGGGAGAGGGAUGUGGAAUUCCAGGUGUAGCGGUGAAAUGCGUAGAUAUCUGGAGGAACACCGGUGGCGAAGGUGGCAUCCUGGACCGGUAUUGACGCUGAGGCGCGAAAGCCAGGGGAGCAAACGGG
rnacentral:rRNA from 1 species